CAGGUAGGACUACCCGCUGAACUUAAGCAUAUCAAUAAGCGGAGGAAAAGAAACUAACAAGGAUUCUCUUAGUAGCGGCGAGCGAGUGGGAAGAGCUCAAAUUUGAAAUCUGGCGUCUUUCAGGCGUCCGAGUUGUAAUCUAUAGAAGUGUUUUCUGUGCUGGACCGUGUCCAAGUCCCUUGGAACAGGGUAUCAAAGAGGGUGACAAUCCCGUACUUGACAUGAUAACCAGUGCUCUGUGAUACACUCUCUACGAGUCGAGUUGUUUGGGAAUGCAGCUCAAAAUGGGUGGUAAAUUCCAUCUAAAGCUAAAUAUUGGCGAGAGACCGAUAGCGAACAAGUACCGUGAGGGAAAGAUGAAAAGCACUUUGGAAAGAGAGUUAAACAGUACGUGAAAUUGUUGAAAGGGAAACGAUUGAAGUCAGUCGUGUCUAUUGGUUUCAGCUGCCUCUGGUAGUGUAUUACCUUUAGACGGGUCAACAUCAGUUUUGGACGGCGGAAAAAGGCAGAGAGAAUGUGGCACCCUCGGGUGUGUUAUAGCUCUUUGUUGCAUACGCUGUCCGAGACUGAGGAAUGCAGCUCGCCUUUACGGCCGGGGUUCGCCCACGUUCGAGCUUAGGAUGUUGACAUAAUGGCUUUAAACGAC
rnacentral:rRNA from 1 species